rnacentral:rRNA from 1 species
UACGAACUGUGCAAACGUUAUUCGGAUUCACUGGGCUUAAAGGGUGCGUAGGCGGCCAUGUAAGUAGGGUGUGAAAGCCCCCGGCUCAACCGGGGAAUUGCGUCCUAAACUGGGUAGCUCGAGUGAGAUAGAGGUGUGUGGAACUUCCGGUGGAGCGGUGAAAUGUGUUGAUAUCGGAAGGAACGCCGGUGGCGAAAGCGACACACUGGGUCUCAACUGACGCUGAGGCACGAAAGCCAGGGGAGCGAACGGG